rnacentral:lncRNA from 1 species
GUUUUUUUAAUAUGGUAUGACACCAUAGGUUUAGUUAAAAUUUCAUCAAAUGUUAUCAUCUAAAAAUGUAUAAUUGAGUAUAACUUGGAAAAUUGUGUACGUCAUUUUUAAAAUACUUUUGGAUAAUUGUAGGAGCCACUUGAAAUUUCUGGACUUCCAGAGGAGAUUAUUCGUGUUCCAGCUGGUUAUCAUCACUCCUCUGCUAUUACAGGUGUGAGAUUGUGAGUUCUAUUGUCAUCCAAUACUACACCUUCUACUAAUUUUUUUUUCAAUUUGCUUUGUUUUCGUUUAAUUUUACGUGUUUAUAUCGAUAAAAAAAAUUAAAAAAAUAAAUCAAUUGAAAGCCCCCCUACUAAGUAAUGGCCCUAACAACUUGGUUAGGGUAUUCUCAUGAAGAAUUUCUUUUUAAUUUUGAUGAAAUUGACUUUAUUUUGUUUUUAUGUGAUUUGAGUUUGAUGUGUUUGUGUUCGCGCGCGCCAAACACCUACAGAUGCACACUGCGAAAUGAUAAUCGACCAAUUCCCAACCUCAUGGUCACUUGCACCUUAGCCGAAUUUUAUACAUGUGUACAUCCAUUUCCCCCCAGAUAGGCGUCGUUCCCAUUUUUAUGAAUGGUAAUAGAGUUGCUAUCAACCAAUCUUUCAGCCAAUUUAGGAUCGUACCUAUAUCUAGCAGUCGUAACUGCAUAAAUGACAUUUACUAGCCUUUGCUUUAGAAUAUCCAAGACAUAUUCCCCUACAACUCUUGGUCUCCUGCAUUAGUACAUUCAACCACUGAUCAUAUUUAAUCUCUCCUGUUACUUUCUUUUCCUUCUUUUUCUUUUCUUUACUAAUUUAGUACUCUUCUUUCUUUAUUUCUUUGGUCUUCUCAAAUUAGUAGUACAGAUAUAAAUUCCCCUAUUCUUGGAAGUAUUUGUUCUAAAAUCUGUAUGGCAUUAAUAGGGCAUUCAAUAGGGCAUUCAGCCUAGCAUUGCAGUCUUCCUUCUUCCUUGGUCCUCUCCUUUAAGCUUCUAAAAUUUCCUGCAAUACAGUACAUAAUAACAUUCAUUGUAUCAGUUGCUCUCCAGAAAUAUAGAAUCUUCAACAAUGACCAUUGUUGCAAAGGAUAUACCUUUAUUUCCAAAGCAUGCCUAUGUACUGAAGCAUUUAAAAUUCUAAAUAGCUUAUAGCCUAUUUAAUCUGUUUAACCUCUAUUUACCAUCAACCUCUUGAAGGUAACUGAAGAUGGAUUACACACAGUACCUUCUCUUUCUUUUGGCUGACAUUAGAUGUACUAUCAGUAUACCUACGCUUCAAUUUUGCUUAUAACACAUUUGUUUUUUCAUGUUUUCUCUUCUACAAGGUAAUCCAGCGAUCCUUAUAUUCUGUGGGUGGGAAAUGUGAACCAUUCUGAAACUGAUAUCAAACAAAAUAUGGACAUGAAUGCUGUAUUACGUACGGACCGUCAAUACUUUGCAGGUACUCCUCACUAUUGUUCUUUGGAAAGUAAAAUGGGCCCACAAUAUCUGCCAAAACUUCAAUCAAUGAUAUUGAUUUAUUUUAUUUUAUUUAAUAAUGUGUAGUGAAGUUUCUUAUAUGUGUAGGUACUGCUAAAACAAUGUGAAGGUAACUAUCUCUCUUCAUGUGUUAGAACUACUCAAUGAGAUAAACUGGAAAAGUCAUCUGCAAGUGCAGGUACUGUUAGAACACAUGGUAGCUAUAUGAAACCAUUUAGUUGCUUUGAUACUUAUAAAUUAUCUCAUUUUUAAAAUAUUGCAACUUUAUCAGAACCUGCAGUUUUAAAGGUCCACAUUUGUCUUGCGCAUCUGACCUUUUCCCUUAUGUGUGCUAAUGCGCCUACCCACUUUUUGGUUUAGGCUUUUACCUCUUUUUGAGUUUCCUCCUGUCUGUAUUAGAUUUAUGAGAGAACUGCAGCAACACCUGAAUCAGAAGAAGUUUUCUUUACAAACAAUUCAAAGAUCUUGCCGUAAAGUUAGUUCGAUAUUAUUUAUUUAUUUAUUUGGUUGUUUCUUUAAUGUAUAUUUCUCUUUGUUGUUGCAAGACCAGUUCUUGGCACAUAAAUUCUUAUUCUGGGACUACAGGAUAUCCAUCGAUGCCCUUUUUUGAAUAACAUUAACGAACCUACUAAUUUCACUUUCUUAUUGCCAGAAAUAUUCACAAUGCCUAUAAUUUCACUAAUCUCAAAACAAAAUGUAUACUUUUCUUUUCAAUAUAAGUGAUAUUGUCAUUUUCGUUACGGAUCUGAAUUUUUUUUAAAUGGUUCCAAUUUUGAUAUGCCAUUCAGGCUUUUCCAGGUCCCACACUCUAGAACAUCAUUCAUGCAUUCCCAGAAAUCAGUCCAGGAGUAGAUACGACCUCAGUUUAAUAUUUUAGUUGCAAAGGCAUCCAUCACCAGCCUCUCAAGUUUUAGACCAGAAGGACCCUUUGGUUUCGAUUUAUUUCCUAAGAAGUGGAAGAAUAACAAUUUCCAAAUCAUCUAAGAAAGAGUGUUCUUCAAAGGUAGAUCAUAGCCUUCAUAAGAUACUGCUCAAUUACUGUUGUGCUUCUGUCUGCCAGAGUUUCAUUCAAGGUGAGUUA